GGAUGUCGUAGGUCAGGACGACGUGCACCUCGGUGCUCACACCGUCCGGGGCGGGCACGAACCGAACCGUACCGGCGUUCGGCACGUCGGCGUUCCC
rnacentral:tRNA from 2 species